AUGGUUGUCCGGGUGCUGCUCCUCUGCCUGCUGACCUUUCCAAGCUGUGUCCUGUCCCAGGUGCAGCUGAAGGAGUCAGGACCUGGCCUGGAACAGCUCGCACAGACCCUGUCUCUCACCUGCACUGUCUCUGGGUUCUUAUUAACCAGCAAUAGUGUGAGCUGGGUCAGCCAGCCUCCAGGAAAGAGUCUAGAGCAUAUGGGAGCAAUAUGGAGUGGUGGAAGCACUAAUUAUAAUUCAGCUCUCCAAUCCCGAAUCAGCAUCAGCAGGGACACCUCCAAGAGCCAAGUUUUCUUUAAUAUGAACUAUCUGCAAACUGAAGACACAGCCAUGCAUUACUGUGGCAGAGACACAGUGAGGGAACUCCAGUGUCAGCAUGCACAGAAACCUCCCUGUAGAGACAUACAGAACAACCAGGGGGUGCUGAAGAACAACAGUGUCAUCGCAGGACCUGAGCUGCCAUGUAAGCUGAUCCUCACUCUGACACUGAAUAACAUGAAGGUGGACCCUUUGUGUUCAGCAUUGCUUGGAGUUGUUCACUUCACUGGCAUGUCUACUCCUCUGAUAAUUCGAGGAAUCUAG